rnacentral:rRNA from 1 species
ACGAACGCUGGCGGCGUGCCUAAUACAUGCAAGUAGAACGCUGAAGGAGGAGCUUGCUUCUCCGGAUGAGUUGCGAGCGGGUGAGUAACGCGUAGGUAACCUGCCUGGUAGCGGGGGAUAACUAUUGGAAACGAUAGCUAAUACCGCAUAACAGUAGAUGUUGCAUGACAUUUGCUUAAAAGGUGCAAUUGCAUCACUACCAGAUGGACCUGCGUUGUAUUAGCUAGUUGGUGAGGUAACGGCUCACCAAGGCGACGAUACAUAGCCGACCUGAGAGGGUGAUCGGCCACACUGGGACUGAGACACGGCCCAGACUCCUACGGGAGGCAGCAGUAGGGAAUCUUCGGCAAUGGACGGAAGUCUGACCGAGCAACGCCGCGUGAGUGAAGAAGGUUUUCGGAUCGUAAAGCUCUGUUGUAAGAGAAGAACGAGUGUGAGAGUGGAAAGUUCACACUGUGACGGUAUCUUACCAGAAAGGGACGGCUAACUACGUG